CCUUUGUACACACCGCCCGUCGCUACUACCGAUUGAAUGGCUCAGUGAGGCUUUCGGACUGGCCUAAGGGAGUCGGCAACGACACCCUAGGGCCGGAAAGUUAUCCAAACUCGGUCAUUUAGAGG
rnacentral:rRNA from 1 species